rnacentral:hammerhead_ribozyme from 1 species
GUACUGCUGGGGGGUCCCACAAUAGGACGAAACGGCCGUCCAGUGC